AUGGCCGUCGUUGAUAUCGUCGGGGAUCCACCCGGGCCGCCCGCCCCUCGUCAUUGCGCGCACCACGACGGCCACGAGCGCCGAGCUCGCGUAGUUGCCCAGCGCAAACGCCGCGCUGGAGAGCCCCGAGCAGACGUUCCGCAUGGCGUCCGGCGCCUGGUCAUAGAAGAACUCCAUCUGCCCGAUGAACGUGAACACCUCUGCGGCACCCACCACCACGUACUGCGGCACCUGCCAGAAGAUCGACAUCGGCACAUACCCCGCGCCGUCCUCGCCGGUGUAGGUGCCGUGGCGCGCGACGACGCGGCGCCGCGCCACCUCGAGCGUGCCGGCGGCGAGCAUGGCAACAGUGAGGAUGACGAAGCCCACACCCAUGCCGUCGUCCCCGUCACACUCGUGCAGCAGCGUGGCGUCGGUCGGGAUCUCCACGUCGCACUUCCUGGCGGCGGCGACCACCACCUGCGCGAUCCUGGUGAGCGGGCUGCCGCCGGGGGGCUGGUGGCGGCGGUACGCGCCCGUGCCGGCGAGGAACAGAGCGACGGCGAGCACGCUGAGCAGCGCCGGGAUGCCGUAGCCGAGCCGCCAGCCGUGGGCGGACUGCACCCACACCAGGACGGUGCCGCCCACGAGCGAGCCCACGACAAUGGACAGGUAGAACCAGUUGAAGAAGGAGCUCUGCCGCCGGCGCUCCUCCUCGUCGGACUCGGCGUCGAACUGGUCGGCCCCGAACGACGACAGGACCGGCUGCAGCGCGCCGCCCAGCGCCACCAGGUACAGCCCCGCGUAGAACACCGCGCUCGCCGCCACGACGCCGUACCCCGCGACGGAGAUGAAGAGGAAGAGGGUGAUGGUCCAGUACCUGCCGAGGAAAGAGUCGGCGAGGAAGCCGGCCGCGAGCGGCGUGAUGGAGGCGGUGCCCUGCCAGUUGGUGACGCUGUUCGCCGCGGCCUUGCUGCCGGAGUGCAGCUGGACCUUGAGGAAGUUCACCAGGUUCGUCGACACGCCGUAGUAAGCGCUGUACUGGAGGCAGUUGUUCACUGCACACCACGCGCGCGUGAAUGCAUGAGCAGCAUAUUUAGCGUGGAUCUAGGUGGAUCAUAG
rnacentral:rRNA from 1 species